rnacentral:rRNA from 1 species
UUCCAGACUCCUACGGGAGGCAGCAGUGGGGAAUAUUGCACAGUGGGGGAAACCCUGAUGCAGCGACGCCGCGUGAAGGAAGAAGUAUUUCGGUAUGUAAACUUCUAUCAGCAGGGAAGAAAAUGACGGUACCUGACUAAGAAGCCCCGGCUAACUACGUGCCAGCAGCCGCGGUAAUACGUAGGGGGCAAGCGUUAUCCGGAUUUACUGGGUGUAAAGGGAGCGUAGGCGGUAAUGCAAGUCAGGAGUGAAAGCCCGAGGCUCAACUCCGGGACUGCUUUUGAAACUGUGUUACUAGAUUGCAGGAGAGGUAAGUGGAAUUCCUAGUGUAGCGGUGAAAUGCGUAGAUAUUAGGAGGAACACCAGUGGCGAAGGCGGCUUACUGGACUGUAAAUGACGCUGAGGCUCGAAAGCGUGGGGAGCAAACAGGAUUAGAUACCCUUGUA